GGUUGUUCUAACAUGCAAGGGACAAAAGGUAAAAUUAUCAAACACGGCCGGCAUAGUGAACUUAGGAAAUGAUUGUGCGAUUAAAACGGACAGCAAGGAAGUAAGAGCCACGAUUAUAAGAGGAAGAAAGAAAAAACUCUUCUUCCAAAAUAAUCAAACCCAAGAGCCAUUAGGUCAAACGCUAAUUCCAACUGAACACUACGCUCUCGCUAUUGCGAUUUCAUUUAAUGUUUUGUUGAUCUUAGUAGGAGUUACCGUCGGGGUAACGUUCUACAGGAGAAGAAACAAACAAGACGUGCCUAUCGAACAGUUAGAAAUAGAAGUAAUCGCGGAACCAUCACCUAACCCAACGGAACAACCCAAACCCAAGUUCAAACCACCGUUUAAGCAGCGAAAUAAGGUAAUCCUAGGAUCGAAUUACGAGGGGGAGAAUGUUGCGUGCCCAACGCGCGCAUAAACGGUUCGUUGCAAAAAAGCUCAAACGUAGCGUUUUUUGGUAACACACGACGUGCGCAUGAACGGCGUAAGCCACCUUUCAUGUAGGUUGCUUACAAAACAUUCCUAACGCCACAGAAGCGCUGACGCUUUCCAAAACAUUCUACACCGCGGAAGCGCUAGCCGUCGGCGUACGCGAGGCAUGGCCGUUCUAGUUACGUCGUCGUAAGUAGGUUAGGGUUCCUACGUUCAGGUUCAGGUUCAGUUAACAAAUAGGAAGUAAGUAACAAAUAGGAAGUAAGUAAGUAAAUAAAUAAAUAAUAAGUUAAGUUAAGCUUGUAAACCAAUUCUUGAGUAUAUAAGGAGUGCUCGCACUCGAAAUAAAUUAAUUGCAAACCAGAACUAGAGAGUCUUUCUCUUCAGCUUUCAAGCUUCCAGGUUUCAGUUCACCCGGGACGGCUCGAAGUGUUGGCAACCCAACUCCCCCCUCUUGCGGCAUAGGUUCUCGAUCGCGAAGAACAACUAGCGGAGAGGUUUGUCAUUUCGACUUGGGAGACGGGAUCAUCAACAGCGUUCGAGUUCGCUCCCCAUCGGUUGACGGUUGGGGCUAAGGUUCAGAGUGGCCAUUUCCUUUGCUUGGUCGAACCUGUAGUCCGCCGCGCAACAGCCAGUUUCAACCUGAACGGGAAGAGUCUGAGAUGAACCGCCAAAGGGCGUGUUAACCGUCAGGUUGGAAAUUAUAACCAACCAAAACUAUAUUGUGUUCUUAUUUCAAGAGCUUCGAGAGUCCCCCUACCCAAGGUAAGGCCUCGAUGUCUCCAUCAAUCCAGUAAGGGAAAUCUCUUCCAGAUUUCUAUGAUCGCCUGGACGAUCAAGUCCGCCCGAAUGAAGAAGUUUGUCGUCCGAACGAAAAGUCGUUGAUACCGUGAUAAGAUUAACCUUGCGCAAAUCGAUAAAUGUGACGCGGGUACGUACGGAAACGCGAAGGUAGCAAUUGUACGCGCGAGCACAUUACAUGGCGACCGUGACAGGACGCUGCAAUCGUCGGUAGAAAAAAAAUCGCAUCGCGUGAUCGUGGUAAAAAGUAAACACAGCAUGUGCGUAAAGUGAACAAUAGAAAAAGUGAUAUGAAAAAUAAAAACAGUGCGCAAGCUACGAGGUGCUGUAGUAAAACGUUAAGGUGAACGAAAAGUGCAACGCAGCGAAGUUGUAACUGAAACAGUGAGGUGUAACGCAGCGAAAAAGUGUAACCAUUUCUUGCAAUAAAUAAUCGGUGAUGCAAAAUGGGUGGUUCCGUGCAUAAACCAGAAGCAAAAGUAAAUGGAGAUCAUGAUAUAACGAUCAUCCAAAAUCAAGAAACACAUACGGAACAACACCUAACGCAGGAAUUUAAAUUGAAUGUAUUGUGCAUAAUGGUGACCUUUUUUGUAGUGUUAAAAAUUGUUAAACCACUGUACAAGUUAAUGUUGAAACAAGCGAGGAAACACGCGACGGUGUCAUUCCUUCCACAGUGAAAAAAAAGUGAUUAGCUCGCAAUUAACAAAAUACGCCAAAAAAGUGAACUCAUAGCAGACAAUCAGAACAGAAAAAGUGAAAAAUCAAUAUUUAGUGGUGCAGCGCAAAUAAGUUUUUUUUAAGUGAAAAUUGACAAUAUAAAAAUGGCAGUCAAAACUCCAACCUUCAUCAAUCAACCCCUAACAACAAACAUCGAUGGAGCUAAUCAACAACCACGACGAGGAGGAUAAUCGGGAAAACGAUUCCGAGCAGGAAGAGGAGCGUUGGAACCUAUACGUCAGAGAGCGGUUCGGCCCCAGCUACGAUGAAGUGGACGAAUUGAUAACGACCAUCACGGAAGAGAUGCUGAAAAUAGAGAAGGAGAGGUUCUAGCCGAUAUGGGACAACUUCGGAAAGAUAGUAUCAAGGUACCAGCUUUUCCAACUAACAAAAAAAGAAACGUUCGCUCAGUUAAUAGAAAUGUAUAUUUCCCUGUGGGAAUAAAAUAAAAAAAAAAAAACUAAAAAAAAAUUUUUUUUUGACCUUAAAUCCGAAAGCCGCCUUGAACAAAAAUUCCACCUUGAAAAAAAAAAAUAAUAAUAAUAAUAAAUAAAUAUUUGGAUGACAAAGGAAAGAAAUUUUUUUGCACAAAGCAUCUUACCAGACCUGACUUAUAUAUACAAACGAAAGUAAUAAAAGAAAUUACUUACAAAAAAAAAAAAAGUUCGAUUUUUUUU